AUAUUUUGCAAUGGGCGAAAGCCUGAUCCAGCCAUGCCGCGUGUGUGAAGAAGGUCUUCGGAGUGNAAAGCACUUUAAGUGGGGAGNAAGGGCAGUAAGUUAAUACCUUGCUGUUUUGACGUUACCGACAGAAUAAGCACCGGCUACCUUCGUGCCAGCAGCCGCGGUAAUACGAAGGGUGCAAGCGUUAAUCGGAAUUACUGGGCGUAAAGCGCGCGUAGGUGGUUCGUUAAUUUGGGAGUGAAGGCCCCGGGCUUAACCUGGGAAUUGCUUUCAAAACUGACGAGCUAGAGUACGGUAGAGGGUAGUGGAAUUUCCUGUGUAGCGGUGAAAUGCGUAGAUAUAGGAAGGAACAUCAGUGGCGAAGGCGACUACCUGGACUGAUACUGACACUGAGGUGCGAAAGCGUGGGGAGCAAACAGG
rnacentral:rRNA from 1 species